rnacentral:rRNA from 1 species
AUUCCAGCUCCAAUAGUGUAUGUUAACGCUAUUGCAGUUAAAAAGCUCGUAGUUGAAUUUCUGGGUGGCGGCCUUGACCACGGUCUCGCGCUGCUAACUCAUCCGCGCCGGAAACCAUCAUAGCAUUGCUUGGUGGUGGAUGCGUGUUUUACUUUGGAGAAAUUAGAGUGUUCCAGGCAGGCUUUGCUUGAAUACUUCAGUAUGGAAUAAUGGAAUAGGACAGGUCAAUUUUAUUGGUUAUUUGACUUGUAAUGAUUAACAGGGACAGUUGGGGUCGCUAGUAUUCGCUAGUCAGAGGUGAAAUUCUUGGAUUUGGCGAAGACUAACUAAUGCGAAAGCAUUCGACAAGGAUGUUUUCAUUAAUCAAGAACGAAAGUUAGGGGAUCAAAGACGAUUAGAUACCGUCGUAGUCCUAACCAUAAACUAUACCGACUAGGGAUUGGCAAGGGGAGCGACUCUUGUCAGCAUCUAAUGAGAAAUCAAAGUCUUUGGGUUCUGUGGGGAUUAUGGUCGCAAGACUGAAACUUAAAGGAAUUGACG